rnacentral:rRNA from 1 species
AUAAAUAAGCGGUGGAAAAGAAACCAACAGGGAUUCCCUUAGUAGCGGCGAGCGAACAGGGAUGAGCCCAGCGCCGAAUUCCGCGUCCCAAAGGACGUUUGGAACAUGUGGCGUUUAGGAGGAAUCUCUCCGGAGGCAGACGGUGUCGCAAGUCCCCCUGAACGGGGCUGUGAUCCAGAGCGGGUGCGAGGCCCAUAGCUGGUACCGUCUCCUUCGGGUGUCACCUCCUUGGAGUCGGGUUGCUUGGGAGUGCAGCCCUAAUUGGGUGGUAAACUCCACCUAAGGCUAAAUACGUCCGUGAGACCGAUAGCAAACAAGUACCGUGAGGGAAAGUUGCAAAGAACUUUGAAGAGAGAGUUCAAGAGUACGUGAAACCGCUCAGAGGCAAACUGGUGGGCCCACGAAAGCCGAAGGCAGGGGGAUUCAGCCGAGAGGUCGUUGGGGCAAGGCUGGCUGGUUCGACGGACCGUGCCAGGCCGGGUCAGCUCCCGAGACCCUUCGCCUCUCGACGCAUUUCCCUCUGCUUAGUAGGACGCCGCAACCCGUUGGUGAACGCAGCCAUAAGGGAGAGUACCGGAAGGUAGCCAGUGAGCUCUUCUUCGGAGGUGCGAGCUGGUCCUAAGCCAACUCUCCUGGUGCUUGUGACCCGACGGUGGUCUCGAGUCCCUGAAUGGGAUGUCGCCGAGCCCUUCUAGAYCGAGCGGGAGAAGCGGCAGGCUGUUCUCCGUGACCAAAAAAACGGUUACUCCACGCGUGCAGUGGACAACCUUCGGAGUCGGCUGCUGGCACACUUUUCUCCUGCGCUGGGCACAGGCAGUUGGCGGCGAGUAGGUCGGUCACCCACCAGACCCGUCUUGAAACACGGACCAAGGAGUCUAACAUGUGCGCGAGUCAUUGGGUCUUGAACAAGCCCAAAGGCGCAAUGAAAGUGAAGACCAGCACUGAAGCUGGUGGAGUUGGGAAACCGAGUCAAUGACGUCUUGGUUGCACCAACGGCCCGUCCCGUCUGCUUUGUCAGGGGGGCGGAGCGUUGGUUGCUAUUGACAGCAGGACGGUGGCCAUGGAAGUCGGAAUCCGCUAAGGAGUGUGUAACAACUCACCUGCCGAAGCAACUAGCCCUGAAAAUGGAUGGCGCUCCAGCGUCGAGCCUAUACCCGGCCGCCGCGGCAGAGGCUGANAAGCUUAUGCCGCGGUGAGNNNNNNNNNNNNNGCAUAUUUGACGGAUAGUUCCGCCCGCUGACCGAAAGGGAAUCGGGUUAAUAUUCCCGAACCCGGACAAGGAGAUCGGCCCCUCGGGGUCAAGUGCGGUAACGCAACUGAACUCGGAGAAGUCGACGGGAGUCCCGGAGAGAGUUUUCUUUU